CUUUACUCUUAACCACACACAGGUGUAGCCACUCAUUCAUUACCCGCUCGUUCUCUGUGACACGUCUUCCCAUUUACAGCCAGCACUUGACCACAACUACACUUCCACAGUUGCAACCAUACGGGUUUCUUCAUGGGGGAGAGGUUCUUGAUGGGGAUUGGCAGGUCAUGGAUGAAAGAAGAAGAAGAAUGAAGAAUGAAAACGGGAAAAUGCUGGCUAUAGUGACAGCAUGUUUGCUCCCAUUACAUCAGUCCCACGGUGCAGCCAACACCUCUUUGUGUAUUCCAGCUUUAUACUCGGUCGGAGUGAGAUCUGGGGAAUUUGGAGGUCGAGGUCAACACUUUGAAGUAUUUGUCACGUUCCUCAAACCGUUCCUGAACAAUUUCCGCAGUGUCUCAGGGCGCGUUAUCCUGCUGAAAGACGCCACUGCUAUUCGGGAAUACUGUUACCAUGAAGAUGUGUACUCUGGUCUGAAAUGAUGUUUAGGGAGGAGGUACGUGUCAAAGUAACAGCCAGGUGAAUGCCAGGACCCAGGGUUUCCCAGAAGAACAUUUCCCAGAGCAUCACACUUCCUACACCGGUUUGCUUUCUUCCCAUAGUGCAUCCUGGUGCCAUGUCUUCCCCAGAAGUCAUAAAGAACUCAAAAGGAUAUGGCGCAACUGCGAUACUUCCUAGAGGAGGCCAUCCACCAAACGUCAGUGAACGAGUAAGGAGGGCAUCAUUGGGAGGCAGGCUUGAUGCUCUGCUUCUGCACUUUCUUUAGGACUACAUGGUUCUACAUGGAUACUCCAAACAUCUGAACGUCCCCCAAACAGUAUAUGCUCAAGUCUCACCCUUGCUUCAGUCAAUCGUUUCACCUGGACUCUGUAGAUAAAUCUGAUGAAUCAUUGUUUAGGAUUUGUUGCUUUACUAUGUUCUACCUUUUUAUUUGAAUAGAAUUGUGAAAAGUCCCUAUAGACCAGGGUUUCACCCAGGAGAGAUGGGUUCGAUUAGGAGUCUGUUCCCCUUAAGGUUUCUUCCUCAUGUUAUCUCGGUGAGGUUUUCCUCACUACUGUCACCUCUGGCUGCAUUGAGGAUCCAAGUCUACAUCUGGAUGAAUACGUAAAGCUGCUUUGUUUCUUGUUUAACAUGCUUUACAAAUCACAUGGAUGGAAUUGCAUGUUUUUAUUUCUUUAUUUCUAAAUCCUCUGUUUACGCAGUACUAAAGACAAAUCUACAGUAAGUGAGAGUUCUUCAUUAAGCCUUCAAAUCUCC
ensembl:lncRNA